UACGUAGGCAGCAAGCGUUGUUCGGAGUUACUGGGCGUAAAGAGUGCGUAGGUGGUGCCCUAAGUCUGUUGUGAAAUCUCCCGGCUUAACUGGGAGGGUGCGGUGGAAACUGGGGUGCUUGAGUGUGGGAGAGGUAAGCGGAAUUCCUGGUGUAGCGGUGAAAUGCGUAGAUAUCAGGAGGAACACCGGUGGCGAAGGCGGCCUUCUGGACAGUGACUGACGCUGAGACGCGAAAGCGUGGGGAGCAAACAGG
rnacentral:rRNA from 1 species